GUCCACGCCCUAAACGAUGAUGACUAGUUGUUGGGGGAGUUAAAUCCCUUAGUAACGCAGCUAACGCGCGAAGUCAUCCGCCUGGGGAGUACGGUCGCAAGAUUAAAACUCAAAGGAAUUGACGGGGGCCCGCACAAGCGGUGGAUGAUGUGGUUUAAUUCGAUGCAACGCGAAAACCUUACCUACCCUUGACAUGCCAGGAACCCUGCAGAAAUGCAGGGGUGCCCGAAAGGGAACCUGGACACAGGUGCUGCAUGGCUGUCGU
rnacentral:rRNA from 1 species